AGAGUGAACGCUGGCGGUAGGCCUAACACAUGCAAGUCGAACGGCAGCACAGUGGUAGCAAUACCAUGGGUGGCGAGUGGCGGACGGGUGAGGAAUACAUCGGAAUCUACCUUUUGGUGGGGGAUAACGUAGGGAAACUUACGCUAAUACCGCAUACGCCCUUCGGGGGAAAGCCGGGGACCUUCGGGCCUGGCGCUGAUAGAUGAGCCGAUGUCGGAUUAGCUAGUUGGUGAGGUAAUGGCUCACCAAGGCGACGAUCCGUAGCUGGUCUGAGAGGAUGAUCAGCCACACUGGAACUGAGACACGGUCCAGACUCCUACGGGAGCAGCAGUGGGGAAUAGUU
rnacentral:rRNA from 1 species